rnacentral:rRNA from 1 species
AUUGAACGCUGGCGGCAGGCCUAACACAUGCAAGUCGAGCGGAUGAGUGGAGCUUGCUCCAUGAUUCAGCGGCGGACGGGUGAGUAAUGCCUAGGAAUCUGCCUGGUAGUGGGGGACAACGCUUCGAAAGGAACGCUAAUACCGCAUACGUCCUACGGGAGAAAGCAGGGGACCUUCGGGCCUUGCGCUAUCAGAUGAGCCUAGGUCGGAGUAGCUAGUAGGUGAGGUAAUGGCUCACCUAGGCGACGAUCCGUAACUGGUCUGAGAGGAUGAUCAGUCACACUGGAACUGAGACACGGUCCAGACUCCUACGGGAGGCAGCAGUGGGGAAUAUUGGACAAUGGGCGAAAGCCUGAUCCAGCCAUGCCGCGUGUGUGAAGAAGGUCUUCGGAUUGUAAAGCACUUUAAGUUGGGAGGAAGGGCAGUAAGUUAAUACCUUGCUGUUUUGACGUUACCAACAGAAUAAGCACCGGCUAACUUCGUGCCAGCAGCCGCGGUAAUAC